rnacentral:rRNA from 1 species
CCUACGGGAGGCAGCAGUGGGGAAUAUUGGACAAUGGGGGAAACCCUGAUCCAGCGACGCCGUGUGAGUGAAGAAGUAUUUCGGUACGUAAAGCUCUAUCAGCAGGAAAGAAAAUGACGGUACCUGACUAAGAAGCCCCGGCUAACUACGUGCCAGCAGCCGCGGUAAUACGUAGGGGGCAAGCGUUAUCCGGAUUUACUGGGUGUAAAGGGAGCGUAGACGGCAGCGCAAGUCUGGAGGGAAAUGCCGGGGCCCAACCACGGAAGUGCUCUGGAAACUGUGAAGCUGGAGUGCAGGAGAGGUAAGCGGAAGUCUGGGGGUAGCGGUGAAAGGCGUAGAGAUCAGGAGGAACACCGGGGGAGAAGGCGGCUUACUGGAGUGUAACUGACGUUGAGGCUCGAAGGCGUGGGGAGCAAACAGGAUUAGAUACCCCGGUAGUC